rnacentral:rRNA from 1 species
UACGGAGGGCGCAGGCGUUAUCCGGAAUUAUUGGGCGUAAAGAGCUCGUAGGCGGUUUUUCGCGUCGGCCGUGAAAGUCCGGGGCUCAACUUCGGAUCUGCGGUGGGUACGGGCAGGCUAGAGUGAUGUAGGGGAGACUGGAAUUCCUGGUGUAGCGGUGAAAUGCGCAGAUAUCAGGAGGAACACCGAUGGCGAAGGCAGGUCUCUGGGCAUUCACCGACGCUGAGGAGCGAAAGCAUGGGGAGCGAACAGG